rnacentral:rRNA from 1 species
AUUGAACGCUGGCGGCAGGCCUAACACAUGCAAGUCGAACGAGUGGCGGACGUGUGAGUAAUGUCUGGGAAACUGCCCGAUGGAGGGGGAUAACUACUGGAAACGGUAGCUAAUACCGCAUACAAUCGGAUGUGCCCAGAUGGGAUUAGCUAGUAGGUGGGGUAAUGGCUCACCUAGGCGACGAUCCCUAGCUGGUCUGCAAGGAUGACCAGCCACACGGGAACUGUGACACGGUCACGACUCCUACGGAAGGCAGCAGUGUGGAUUAGUGAAUGAUGGGCGAAAGCCUGAAGAAGCAAUGCCGCUUGUAUGAAGAGGGCCUUCGGGUUGUAAAGUACUUUCAUCGAGGAGGCGUUACUCUCAGAAGAAGCACCGGCUAACUCCGUGCCAGCAGCCGCGUAAUUC